UGUUAAAUAAUAAUAUUUUUGUAAACAACAUUUAUUAUAUUUUCGUGUAUAAAGGAAAUUGAUUUGUAUAUAGAAAAUAUUUAGGCACAUCUAUUCCCCUGAAAUAUUUAAAAUAUUAAAAAGGGGCAGUAGACACUCACCCUUGAAACGUGAGUUCCAAGCGUUCGAAUUCGGUUUCUUUGAGAAGCUUGACGUUAAAAACCGCAAAGUCACAUUUCUUAAGCUUUUGAAAUAUUUUUGGGACUGUUUCGUAACGAAUUUAAACUAUUGGGGGUUGUUGGGUAAACUUAAUUAACCAAAAUAGGACUGCUUUGGUUAAAAUAUUUCAAGGGAGGGACUGAAAUGGUUGAAAUGGGUUUAAGGUUUGAGUCAUGGGCUGGUAUUGUUAAGACAUCUCCAUGGGAGGGGAUGUUUUGAAUAAAAUACACCAAAGUUUGGGGAAUGGACUCAUUUUUGCACAAAUGGUUCAAGUGAGGGCGUAUUUUGCUCAUUUUACAAAUAUAAAAUGAUUUUAGGGCUUUUAUAAAAGGAAAUCUUAUGGAGGGACCAUUUUUUAUUAGUGGCCCAAAACUUAAUGUAAUUUAGGGUUUUAUGUCCCGUCUCUUUUGUUUGAUCGGGCAAUGGAUGAAGGCGAAUGAACCCAAGGCAGCAAAAGAACGGAAGCGUCAUUGCAGGUGGAGGAGAAAUCGAUCACCAACUUAGAUUUGGGGGGUUUCGACCCUUGGUUCCUUGCUCGUCGCAGGCCAAAAAGGGGACCGAGGGUGGUAUCGUCGAUUGCAGAUCGCAGUAAGGGAGGAGUCUCCGGGUCGGCUAGAGCGAAGGAAGAAGAAGAAUGGAGCAGCAAGCUGCCGUCGGUUCUCAAUGGGUGAAGCUGUGAGGAGGUGAGCGCCUCCGACGUUCGAAUGGUCCGAAGAAAAGAGAAGGGACGAAACAGCGAGGCUGCUCUCCUUCACCGAUGUUGAGGUGUGAAAGGGGAAAGGGAGGCCAGAAGGGUUUCGUCGGUCUCGGUAGGUGCAACAAGGGUUGCUCAAGCAGUUCCCGGCUGCUUCUCCUACGAUUCCUGUAGCGUAUGCGAAGGGGAGGAGGACAUUUGGCCCGAUGGAGCAAGGCAAGUAGAAACAGCAGCUCCGGUGGGGGGUUUGGCAGCGGUGCUCGAUAGAAGAAGAACGAAGCUGCGGUGGUCUUCGGUGGGUGAAGAUGGGAGUUGUAGGGCGGCAGUGGGUCGCAUGGGGUUGUGGCAGUCGGCGUUUCCGACUGCUUUUUCGAGGUGUACAUGAGAUCAAGAACAAAGUAUUUUUCUCUGAAAAACAAAGGUCGAGGCAGAAUGGUCGAUCAACGAGGGGUGUUUGUUUGACAGUAAUUGAUAAACGGAAUGGACGAUUGUGUUGUUUGAUUUUAUCAUUAUCAGUUUGUGGUUGAGUUUGAGUGUUCACUUUAGCAUUGUACAGGUUUCGUUUGAGUGUAGUUUUGGGUUGAAGAAA